rnacentral:lncRNA from 1 species
UCAAGAUCGACUCUGAUACCAAUUGGGUUACAAAUCUCGUCAGAUCCAAACCUAGAUUAUAAUUAUUAAGAGAUUUUAGAGGUGGAUCAUACAAGUUCAGCUCUGAUACCAAUUGUAAUGACCCAACUUACUAGUAACAAUAAUUCGUUGGGCCCAAACUAUCGACCCAAAAUACUUAAGUCCAAUUAAUAUUACUAGCAUGAAGGUCUCAUAUAUCCCAAUCAGAAUUAUUUUGCCAUUCGAUAAAGGACUAUUGGGGGGUUAUACUUGGUUUGCGAUAUAUUUGAAAAUUCCUAGAAAUGUAGGUCGGGAAUUAAGGAUUCCAACGUUUGAUUUGCCACAGAAAUUCAAAUCAUAGAAAUUUAGGAUUCGUAAAUACUAGUGAAGGGGCCCCGCACGAUGCAGCGGGCGCUGUAUAGCGAGAAGACAAUAUAAUAGUAAAUUAUUAUAACUAUUAACAUAACUUUUUUUCCUAUUAUACAUUAAUAUUUUUCAAUAUUAUUUGUCUCAAUAUUGAAUAAUUAAAAAUUAAAGAAUAAAAUUAAAGUAUAUUUCUAUCAAAAAAAUUUAAACCAUAAAAAAAAAUAAUGAGAGAAAAAAAUAAAAAAAAAAGAAAAAAUGUAGGGUGUGUGAGAGAGAGUGAGAGAAAGGGAAAAAAAGUGUGUGAGAGAUAGUGAGAGAGAGGGGGUAAAAAAAA